rnacentral:rRNA from 1 species
AAAUUGAAGAGUUUGAUCAUGGCUCAGAUUGAACGCUGGCGGCAGGCCUAACACAUGCAAGUCGAACGGUAACAGGAAACAGCUUGCUGUUUCGCUGACGAGUGGCGAACGGGUGAGUAAUGUCUGGGAAACUGCCUGAUGGAGGGGGAUAACUACUGGAAACGGUAGCU